GUUUUUUUGGAAUAUAAAUCAAUAUCAACAUUUAGAUUUUUGUAAAAGAGAUUGAUCCAUCAUCACUCAUUUGAUUAGAAACCACAUGAACCAGUUGCCUAUUAAGAUUACAGAAGUCCAUUCUAAUUGAAAAAUCUAGGCCAAUGGAAGGUGAAAGGAAGACCCACAAAAAAUAGACAAGGGUACGUACCGAUACAAAUCCCACAGUUAAAAGAACAAGUGGGGCAAGUCUCAGAGCCAAUCAGUGAAAGAAAAAUCUAUCAUGCAUUUGAAUUUUUAAAAUUGGGAGCAUCUAUCCUUCCAUUUCCCACCCAUUCACCUCCACCUUCACGCCACCGCAAUCUUGAAAAGGCAACGUGAAAGAUCUCUACUUUUCUAUUGUAUCUUUGAAAAGGCAUUUCCUUUUUCACUGUUACUACAGAUUAAAGUUGCUAACUUGAUCUGAAAAUUGACUAAAAGCAUUAAAGAUGACUAAGAAAAGGCAGACAAAUUUUGCCAAUUUGUAUCUCUGGAAGCAUUUAACAGUGACUAAAUGCCAAGAAAUCAUUGUAUAUACAAUGCUUUUAUUAUGAUUAUUGAUUACGGUGAGUUCCAUGUGAGGUUCUGUCAUAAUCAACGGUCAAAGUAUAUCAAUUAUACAUAAAAUAGUUAUGAAGGCUGAUAAUGGUUGCUUUCAUUGGCCACACAAAUCGUAAAUCAUCUCUCAUUGCUCAUCAAGGGAAAUAACAAUUGUUCAAAUGCAAGGGAAAGAAUGAUUAAAAAAUGGAAACAACAAGAACUGAGAAGGAAGAUAUGCAAUUAUCAUGCAAAUUCAUAUCUAGAGCCUUUUGUCACCAUUCCUUUUCUUAGUUAUAUAAGCAAAGAUUGAAGAAAAUUAUGAACUUGAGAAACCAAGUUAGCAUCAAUGAAGGAUGACUCCAGAUGUUAGCUCAGCUGAUUGAUCCCUUUUAAUCCAUCUGAAAAUGAGUCGACGGCGUACACAUCAAGUCCCCUUGUCCGUCCAGGUGCCCCUCCCUUGAGUGAGGAUACAUCCAAGACAAUCAAGCUCUUUGAUGCCUUCUCUAGUUCUGGUGCUCCACAAUUUAUGAUGAUCUUAUUAUCAAUCCUUGAUACUGAAUGGUCCACAGGCAGAUUAAUCCCUUGGGGUGAUAACUUCUGGGUAGCUACUGCAGUUCCAUCCAGCCCCAAGAGUUUCUUGAGGUUCUCAUAACAAUCUUCAAGUUUAUCGUUAUAACAAAUGUGAUCAAAGAUGCCUGGUGACUUUCCUUGUGCCAUCUCUGCCUCUGCAUUUUCAAGUCGCUUAAGAAUCUGCUCCUCUGCCUCAGUCCCCCUUGCACGAAGUCUCUUCCCAAGCUCCUCCAUUGACGGAGGACAGAUAAAGAUAAAAAUUGCCUCCAAAGUGCUAUCCCUCACAGAUCUUGCCCCUUGAACAUCAAUGUCAAGAAUACAUCUCUUCCCUGCAUCUGCUACCACCUCAACAGCUUCAAUACUGGUUCCAUAGAGAUUUCCAUGAACAGAAGCAAACUCAAGGAAUUUCCCAUCUUUUAUCUCUUUCUCCAUAACACUUCUCUCAGUGAAAUGGUAGUGCACUCCAUCUUUCUCCAUGCCCCUUGGAGCACGGGUCGUAUGGCUUACAGAAAAUCCAAACAUGGAUGGGAAUUCCUUCAUGAGCAUUGAUAUUAAUGUUCCCUUACCUACACCUGAAGGACCACUUAUGACAACUGGCCUCUCAACAUUGCCCCUCACACCCUUACUCCAGGCCACAACCUCUGUCCCCAAACCUUUUUUCUGCUUCUUAACAUACUCAGUGUCCACCUGCAAAUAUUGAAAUUAAGAUUCUGCAAGUUAAGAAUACUCCAUUUUGAUUUUCAUAAAAGAAAAAGAGAUCAAACUCACUUCUUCAUAAAAAAGUUUAUUUCACAAUUGUAAAAAACAAAAAUUAUUAAGAAAAACAACUGUAAACCUAAUUUUUCCUAAUUAAAUCCCAACAAGUUCAAGCUCUGAAAUACAGACCUCGAGAAACCAAAUGCAGUCAUCUGGUGCAAAUCCCUUCUUAAUAAUCAAAAUUCGGCCAUCAUUCAAUGACACAGCUGAGUGACCUUUACAUGGCUUGGGUUUUGUUCCCAGCACAGUUGGAAUUUCCCAAUUCCCAGUAGCUUUGUCAAAAAUUCGAACUCCAAUAGACAAUGCAGAUUCAUCAUCGCUACCACCAAUCAAGUAUUUUCUAUCUUGUAUGGUAAUAGCUAUUUCACAGCCCUCACGUUUAAAACCAAAUCCAUUCUGAUACUCAUUCUGUAGAUCAUCAACGAUGAAAGCUGGGGCCUUUCCCAUGGAGAAACUAUGCCUCCAAUACAAGAUUCACCCUGAUCAAUAAACAUGGAAAGAGAAUAGAUCAAAUCAAAAGAUCCAUAUUUCUUGAUCUACCAUCACAGUUAAAGUACUAUCUUGAAUGGACAAGCUUGAGAAAAGCAAAAUGAAAAUAGACCCCCACACAUCAUACACACAAAUUGGAAGAAAAAUCCAAAAAUGAGAAGAACAAAAAUGAAAAUUGAGCUCCAAAAAAAAAAUCAAAACCCAGAUGCCAAUUUAGCAUUCCAAAUGAAAAACAAAAAUAUUCAGUUAAAACUACCCUCAACCCG
rnacentral:misc_RNA from 1 species